GAGAAGAACGCAGCGAAAUGCGAUAACUAAUGUGAAUUGCAGAAUUCAGUGAAUCAUCGAGUCUUUGAACGCACAUUGCGCCCCCUGGUAUUCCGGGGGGCAUGCCUGUCCGAGCGUCAUUGCUGCCCUCAAGCACGGCUUGUGUGUUGGGCUCCGUCCCCCCGGGGACGGGCCCGAAAGGCAGCGGCGGCACCGAGUCCGGUCCUCGAGCGUAUGGGGCUUUGUCACCCGCUCUGUAGGCCCGGCCGGCGCCAGCCGACAACCCAUCAUCCUUUUCAGGUUGACCUCGGAUCAGGUAGGGAUACCCGCUGAACUUAAGCAUAUCAAUAAGCGGAGGA
rnacentral:misc_RNA from 1 species